GACGAACGCUGGCGGCGUGCUUAACACAUGCAAGUCGAACGGAAAGGCCCCUUUGGGGGUACUCGAAUGGCGAACGGGUGAGUAACACGUGAGUAACCUGCCCUUGACUUCGGGAUAACUUCAGGAAACUGGGGCUAAUACCGGAUAGGAAUCCUUGCUGCAUGGUGGGGGUUGGAAAGCUUCGGCGGUUUUGGAUGGACUCGCGGCUUAUCAGCUUGUUGGUGGGGUAGUGGCUUACCAAGGCUUUGACGGGUAGCCGGCCUGAGAGGGCGACCGGCCACAUUGGGACUGGGAUACGGCCCAGACUCCUACGGGAGGCAGCAGUGGGGAAUAUUGCACAAUGGGCGGAAGCCUGAUGCAGCAACGCCGCGUGCGGGAUGACGGCCUUCGGGUUGUAAACCGCUUUCAGCAGGGGCGAAGCUUGUGGUGACGGUACCUGCAGAAGAAGCACCGGCUAACUACGUG
rnacentral:rRNA from 1 species